AUGAACGCUGGCGGCGUGCUUAACACAUGCAAGUCGAACGGAAAGGCCCAAGCUUGCUUGGGUACUCGAGUGGCGAACGGGUGAGUAACACGUGGGUGAUCUGCCCUGCACUUCGGGAUAAGCCUGGGAAACUGGGUCUAAUACCGGAUAGGACCACAUUUUGGAUGGUGUGGUGGAAAGUUUUUCGGUGUGGGAUGAGCUCGCGGCCUAUCAGCUUGUUGGUGGGGUAAUGGCCUACCAAGGCGUCGACGGGUAGCCGGCCUGAGAGGGUGUACGGCCACAUUGGGACUGAGAGACGGCCCAGACUCCUACGGGAGGCAGCAGUGGGGAAUAUUGCACAAUGGGCGCAAGCCUGAUGCAGCGACGCCGCGUGGGGGAUGACGGCCUUCGGGUUGUAAACUCCUUUCGCUAGGGACGAAGCGUUAUGUGACGGUACCUGGAGAAGAAGCACCGGCCAACUACGUG
rnacentral:rRNA from 1 species